UCCCCCAUACUCUGUUGGUAGGGUAGCUAGACUUUGAAUCUAGCGUUCGUAGGUUCGAUUCCUGCUGGGGGAGC
rnacentral:tRNA from 1 species